GACGAACGCUGGCGGCGUGCUUAACACAUGCAAGUCGAACGGAAAGGCCUGCUUUCCCUUGUGGAUUGCGGGUACUCGAGUGGCGAACGGGUGGGUAACACGUGAGUGAUCUGCCCCCAACUUGGGUAUAAGCCUGGGAAACUGGGUCUAAUUCCCGAUAGGACUGCAGGGUGGUGCCUGUGGUGGAAAACGAUUUUCUAGUGGUUGGGGAUGAGCUCGCGGCCUAUCAGCUUGUUGGUGGGGUAAUGGCCUACCAAGGCGGCGACGGGUAGCCGGCCUGGGAGGGUGGACGGCGACAUUGGGACUGAGAUACGGCCCAGACUCCGACGGGAGGCAGCAGUGGGGAAUAAUGCACGAUGGGCGGAAGCCUGAUGCAGCGACGCCGCGUGGAGGAUGACGGCCUUCGGGUUGUAAACUCCUUUCGACCGCGAGGAAGCCACCUGGUUGGAAGGGUGGUGACGGUAGUGGUAGAAGAAGCACCGGCUAACUACGUG
rnacentral:rRNA from 1 species